rnacentral:rRNA from 1 species
GACAGCAGUCGCCACGGGAAUACGGAGGGUGCAAGCGUUAAUCGGAAUUACUGGGCGUAAAGCGUGCGUAGGCGGUUCGUUAAGUCUGUUGUGAAAGCCCCGGGCUCAACCUGGGAAUGGCAAUGGAUACUGGCGAGCUAGAGUGUGUCAGAGGAUGGUGGAAUUCCCGGUGUAGCGGUGAAAUUCGUAGAUAUUCGGAAGAACACCAGUGGCGAAGGCGGCUCACUGGACCGGAAUUGACGCUGAGGUGCGAAAGCGUGGGGAGCAAACAGGAUUAGAUACCCGCGUAGUCCCUGUCUCUUAUAC